ACAGGGAUUGCCCUAGUAACGGCGAGUGAAGCGGCAACAGCUCAAAUUUGAAAUCUGGCGUCUUUGGCGUCCGAGUUGUAAUUUGCAGAGGGCGCUUUGGCAUUGGCAGCGGUCCAAGUUCCUUGGAACAGGACGUCACAGAGGGUGAGAAUCCCGUACGUGGUCGCUAGCCUUUACCGUGUAAAGCCCCUUCGACGAGUCGAGUUGUUUGGGAAUGCAGCUCUAAAUGGGAGGUAAAUUUCUUCUAAAGCUAAAUACUGGCCAGAGACCGAUAGCGCACAAGUAGAGUGAUCGAAAGAUGAAAAGCACUUUGGAAAGAGAGUUAAAAAGCACGUGAAAUUGUUGAAAGGGAAGCGCUUGCAGCCAGACUUGCCUGUAGUUGCUCAUCUAGGGUUCUACCUAGUGCACUCUUCUAUAGGCAGGCCAGCAUCAGUUUGGGCGGUUGGAUAAAGGUCUCUGUCAUGUACCUCUCUUCGGGGAGAACUUAUAGGGGAGACGACAUGCAACCAGCCUGGACUGAGGUCCGCGCAUCUGCUAGGAUGCUGGCGUAAUGGCUGUAAGCGGCCCGUCUUGAAACACGGACCAAGGAGUCUAACAUCUAUGCGAGUGUUUGGGUGUCAAGCCCGAGCGCGUAAUGAAAGUGAACGGAGGUGGGAACCUUUCGGGGUGCACCAUCGACCGAUCCUGAUGUCUUCGGAUGGAUUUGAGUAAGAGCAUAGCUGUUGGGACCCGAAAGAUGGUGAACUAUGCUUGAAUAGGGUGAAGCCAGAGGAAACUCUGGUGGAGGCUCGCAGCGGUUCUGACGUGCAAAUCGAUCGUCAAAUUUGGGCAUAGGGGCGAAAGACUAAUCGAACUAUCUAGUAGCUGGUUCCUGCCGAAGUUUCCCUCAGGAUAGCAGUAACGUUUUCAGUUUUAUGAGGUAAAGCGAAUGAUUAGAGGCCUGGGGGUUGAAACAACCUU
rnacentral:rRNA from 1 species